UUCGGCGGCCGAAAGUCCUGGACAGAUCCGAAAGUCAGGCACUUUCGGCGGCACCUUCGGCGGCCGAAAGUCCCAGACAGAGACGAAAGUCUCUUUUCGGGGGCAACUUCGGCAGCCGAAUGCUGCCUCCACAAAGGGGGUUCGGCGGCCGAAACUCCCUUCGGCGGCCGAACCUGGUUUCUGCUAGAAGGGCAGAAACUUGGUUCACAUGAACCCCUUGCC
rnacentral:lncRNA from 1 species